CGCUGGCUUGCCUGAAAAACCUGUUUGCCUGCUGAUCUUAAAAAUCAUUCUUUCUCUCUCUCCCUCCUAGACAUGCAGCUAGCUGCUCAUAACAACAUUCAUCAUUGUUGUUCUGCGGGAUCAGAUACGUUAGAGAAAAUACACAUUACUUUUCUCAUCCAUUAUCACUGAAACAUCCUUAGAUAUGAAGACUCCUAAAAGUGCAAUAUCUGCUUAGAGAAACCUUCCAUGUGUUCAAUGUAGCUUACUCCAAAAGCAGGUAUACAUAGAAUAUAUUUUAGUCACUUUUUAUUAUUCCAGGGAAUGCUUCAUGAUAAU
rnacentral:lncRNA from 11 species